UCUUGGUCAUAAGCAUAUUCAUUCUUUCUUUUAUACUCAUAGGUUUUUCGGGAAUUACAUCGCCCUGCUCAGCGUUUGGAUUCGUAUGCUCUUUUUCGGGUUUAGAGACACGUCGUGCAUUCACAGCAAUAGACAUACUGGCACGUCUUCCCACCACACCUCGUUCUGUGGCCAUAUUGGUUGGAGGUACACUUUUGCUUUCUACCUCGCCUAGCCCAACUGGAGCAUUGGAACUUUGAAGACUAGAGGGUGUAGGCGCAGAUAUAUUGUUUUGUGGGUUUUCCACAGAUUUUAAGUUUACAGGUUUUGGGACAGGAGCGGGAGCAGCAGCUACCUUGUUUAAACUUGAUG